UCCAACUGCACAGUCAGCAGUGUGGGAGUUGGUCGUGAACUUCACUCUCUCUGUCUCCCAAGCUCCCGGAAGCAGGGGCACCACCAGGCUCAGACAAGAAACACUGACUGAGAUGCCAACGUCCCCUGGAUCGUCUCUGGAGACCUAAGACUCAUCAACGUCGCUUGGGACCACAGUGCCAGGGUGACCUGGGAGCCGCUGAGGAAAGCAAGCGACCAGUGCCACCUGAGCCCUGUGGAGUGGAACCUGUGGAGGCAGGGGGAGGCCCAGGACAGGUGGGAGCAGGCUUGUGGGUGUGGUUCCCAGGCACCUAAGGUGGGAGAAGGAAAGAGAAGAACCUCUGUUCCAGCCACCUCUGGUAACAAACAAAAUGAAUUGAAAAUUUAGGUCUGCAUAAAAAAAUGAAUACAUGCAAACAUUCACAACAGCUCCACUCAUAACUGCCAAGACUUGGAAGCAACCAAGGUGCCCUUCAACAGGUGCAUGGAUACACAACAUCCAGGCCACGGAAUAUUAUUCAGAGAAAAGAAUGAGCUGGACAAAAACACAGUGGUGCCCUAAGUGCACAUCCUAAGUGGAAGAAAGUACUGUGUAGCUCCAACUACAUGGCGUUCUGGAAAAGGCAAAACAACGGAGAGUCAAAACAUCGGUGUUUGCCAGGGGUGCAGGAAGAGGGUGGGGGGAUGCAGAGGUGGAGCACAGGAUUUUUAAGCCCGUGGAACUCCUGUGUCUGAUCCUGUGAGGGUGGCCACAUGCCAUUCCAAGAUCCACACAGUCAUGGACCGCUGUUGGCUCAUCGCCGGUCGCAUACGCGUGCCACUAAUGCAAGGUGUUAAUGAUCGGGAUACCGUGGGUGCGAAGGACUGGACGGGAACUCUGAACUUUCUGCUCAGCUUUGCUGCGAACCUGAAACUGCUCUAAAAGAUAAAGUCCAUGAAGUAAUGACCAAAAUAAAGAAAGAAAGAAGAAGAAAGGAUUAAAAAAAAAAAAGACACAAGAGCCAACCUUAAUAAAAACUCCCAAAGGCCGAGGCUGGAAUAAUUUAAGCAAUGAAAUAGAUAAUGGUGGUAUUGAAUUGCACUCCCAAGAAUAAAUAUUCAUGAGGUCGUACUGGUACGAACACAUGAUUGACUCAAUCAGUACGUGAGGGACAAAGGACAGAUCUUCACAGAGAGUUCCACACGGCAGCUUGGGAGGAGUGAGGGCAGCAGAGGAGCCCAUAGAACACAGGGGCAGUCUCCUGAGGCCAGGCGGCUGGGUGAUGUCCCCAGGGCAGCUCUCUGAAAAUAUUUAGUCAUCAUGGAGAGGAUUUUAGCAU